rnacentral:rRNA from 1 species
UUGGCAUUAGAGUUUGAUCCUGGCUCAGAUUGAACGCUGGCGGCGUGCUUAACACAUGCAAGUCGAGCGGUAACGCGGGGGCAACCCUGGCGACGAGCGGCGAACGGGUGAGUAAUGCUUCAGAAUCUUCCUCGUAGUGGGGAACAACCUGGGGAAACUCAGGCUAAUACCGCAUACGAACUACGGUUGAAAGCAGGGGAUCGCAAGACCUUGCGCUAUGAGAUGAGCCGAAGUCGGGUUAGCUAGUUGGUGAGGUAAAGGCUCACCAAGGCGACGAUCCGUAGCUGGUCUGAGAGGACGACCAACCACACUGGAACUGAGACACUGUCCAAACUCCUACGGGAGGCAGCAGUGGGGAAUAUUGGACAAUGGGGGCAACCCUGAUCCAGCGACGCCGCGUGUGUGAAGAAGGCCUGCGGGUUGUAAAGCACUUUUAGUGGGGACGAAAAGUUCGGGCUAAUACUCCUGAAUCUUGACUUAACCCAAAGAAAAAGCACCGGCUAACUCUGUGCCACCAACCGCGGUAAUACAGAGGGGGGCAGCGGUUAUCGGAAUUACUGGGCGUAUAGCGUGCGUUGUCGGGUAUUUAAGUCGGGAUGGAAAUCCCCGGGGGCACCUUAGGAAUUGNUUUCCAUACUGGAUACCUAGAGUUCCGCAGGAGGAACCGGAAUUUCGGGGUGAGCGGGGAAAGGCCGACAUACCGAAGGAGCGCCAGGGGGAAAGCGCGUUGCGGGAGGCAGUUGACGUUUAUGGCCCAAGGCGGGGGGAGCGGACGGAUAGGGAACCCGGUAGGCCCGGUUGAGACGAUAGAUGUAAAGUU